AAAUCCAUCUGUAAUGAAUUUAAUGCAAAUGAACAAACAUCCACAAGAACAAUACAACAGCUUCAGGUUUUGUGGAAGAAUAUAAAAAUCAACCUAAAAAAAACUGCUGCAGAAGCCCGAAGAGAGAGGUUUAAGACUGGUGGAGGACCUGCAAAUAAAGAUACUGAUCAGUUGGAUGACUUACUGACAGGAAUAAUGGAGAACCAGCAACCUUUGGAGAACAUACCAGAUGAUGACCAUCUAGACAGUUCAGAUGAGGGAUCACACACACAUACUACAAUGGGAGAAAGUCAAAGGGACAUAACUGAAGCACUGCAAGGUAUUUUACCCUCCACAUCCUCAGAAACUAGGGUGGCAGUGUCUGCCAGUACCGGUCAUCAAAACAAAAGAGUCACAAUCCACGAAAAGCUGGCCAUUGAAUUUCAUGAACACAAGUUGAAGUACCUUAAGGAGGAGCAUGAAAUGAAAAUGGAGAUCCUCCAAGUAGAACUGGAAAUGAAGAUGAAGGAGAGAGAGAUGCAACUGUCUCAAAUAUCACAACAAUGAAUAUGGAAUAAAAAUUGUUUAUUAAAUCA